rnacentral:rRNA from 1 species
AUUGAACGCUGGCGGCAGGCCUAACACAUGCAAGUCGAACGAGUGGCGGACGGGUGAGUAAUGUCUGGGAAACUGCCUGAUGGAGGGGGAUAGCUACUGGAAACGGUAGCUACUACCGCAUACCAUCAGCUGUGCCCAGAGGGGAUUAGCUCGUUGGUGGGGCAACGGAUCACCAAGGCGACGCUCCCUAGCUGGUCUGAGAGGAUGACCAGCAAAACUGGAACUGAGACACGGUGCAGACUGCUACGGUAGGCAGCAGUGGGGAAGAUUGCACAAUGGGCGAAAGCAUGAUGCAGCCAUGCAGCGUGUAUGAAGAAGGGCUUAGGGUUGUAAAGUACUUUCAGCGGGGAGGCGUUACCCGAAGAAGAAGCACCGGCUAACUACGUGCCAGCAGCCGCGGUAAUUC